rnacentral:rRNA from 1 species
UACGAAGGGUGCAAGCGUUACUCGGAAUUACUGGGCGUAAAGCGUGCGUAGGUGGUGAGUUAAGUCUGUCGUGAAAGCCCCGGGCUCAACCUGGGAAUGGCGAUGGAUACUGGCUCGCUAGAGUGCGGUAGAGGAGAGUGGAAUUCCCGGUGUAGCAGUGAAAUGCGUAGAGAUCGGGAGGAACAUCAGUUGCGAAAGCGGCUCUCUGGACCAGCACUGACACUGAGGCACGAAAGCGUGGGGAGCAAACAGG